rnacentral:hammerhead_ribozyme from 1 species
AGCCGAAACGCCCGCGCAGGGCGUCCACCGUGGGACGGUCUCCCGGUGCUGAUGAUGGCAUCCUUGA